CAGUUGGAAACGACUGCUAAUACCCAAUGUGCCUACGGGUGAAACCUUUUUUGGCCUGAAGAUGAGCUCGCGUCUGAUUAGCUAGUUGGUGGUGUAAUGGACUCACCAAGGCAACGAUCAGUAGCUGGUCUGAGAGGAUGAGCAGCCACACUGGGACUGAGACACGGCCCAGACUCCUACGGGAGGCAGCAGUGGGGAAUUUUCCGCAAUGGGCGAAAGCCUGACGGAGCAAUACCGCGUGAGGGAGGAAGGUUCUUGGAUUGUAAACCUCUUUUCUCAGGGAAGAAAAAAAUGACGGUACCUGAGGAAUAAGCAUCGGCUAACUCCGUGCCAGCAGCCGCGGUAAUACGGGGGAUGCAAGCGUUAUCCGGAAUUAUUGGGCGUAAAGAGUCCGUAGGUGGUCUUGCAAGUCGACUGUCAAAGCCCGCAGCUUAACUGCGGAGAGGCGGUGGAAACUGUGAGACUAGAGUAUGGUAGGGGUAGAGGGAAUUCCCAGUGUAGCGGUGAAAUGCGUAGAUAUUGGGAAGAACACCGGUGGCGAAAGCGCUCUACUGGACCAUAACUGACACUCAGG
rnacentral:rRNA from 1 species